CCCAAAUUAACUGCACGCUCUAAAUUCAUAUGAACAGUCAACACUGUAUGUUAUUCCUUAACCUAUUUUUCAACAAACUAUACUGCUGUUGAUUUUACUUCAUUACCAAAAAAGGGAAAAUGCCUUAAACAAUACCAAUAUUAAAUUGUUUGUAGAUUUAAGACAAAUAUUUUGAAAGCAAUGAGAUUCCUCUGCUUACUGAGAGUUUUAACUACUACUUAAAUACUUUCCUUAAAUACAUUCGUCUACUAAAUGAGGGGUAAGGGAUCCCAUAAACCAUUUUUUUUUUUUGCAGUGAUAUAAGCCCUUUUUGGUAUCAAAUGUCAGCAGAAAGUCAUGGCCUUAUUAUUAGUCUUCUGCAAAAGUUUUUCUCGGCUGGGUCAUUCAAAUCAAAAUCGUUUUCACCCACACCCGAACGAAUUAAUUAGUCUAGGUUUUACCUCUGGGGCCUUAUUCACUGAAUAAGCAAAUCCCAGACAAAUACAAUUAAUUUAAGUGGGGAUUAAAAGCAUUUUGAUUUGGA